GACGAACGCUGGCGGCGUGCUUAACACAUGCAAGUCGAGCGGUAAGGCCCUUUCGGGGGUACACGAGCGGCGAACGGGUGAGUAACACGUGGGUGACCUGCCCUCAGCUCUGGGAUAAGCCUGGGAAACUGGGUCUAAUACCGGAUAUGACCCCAUGACGCAUGUCGUGGGGUGGAAAGCCUUGUGCGGCUGAGGAUGGGCCCGCGGCCUAUCAGCUUGUUGGUGGGGUGAUGGCCUACCAAGGCGACGACGGGUAGCCGGCCUGAGAGGGCGACCGGCCACACUGGGACUGAGACACGGCCCAGACUCCUACGGGAGGCAGCAGUGGGGAAUCUUGCGCAAUGGGCGAAAGCCUGACGCAGCGACGCCGCGUGAGGGAUGACGGCCU
rnacentral:rRNA from 1 species